CGGAGGUGCAAGCGUUAUCCGGAUUCACUGGGUUUAAAGGGUGCGUAGGAGGGCAGGUAAGUCAGAGGUGAAAUCUCCGAGCUUAACUCGGAAACUGCCUUUGAUACUAUCUGUCUUGAAUAUUGUGGAGGUGAGCGGAAUAUGUCAUGUAGCGGUGAAAUGCUUAGAUAUGACAUAGAACACCAAUUGCGAAGACAGCUCGCUACACAUAUAUUGACUCUGAGGCACGAAAGCGUGGGGAUCAAACAGGAUUAGAUACCCUGGUAGUCCACGCCCUAAACGAUGGAUACUCGACAUACGUGAUACACAAUGUGUGUCUGAGCGAAAGCAUUAAGUAUCCCACCUGGGAAGUACGACCGCAAGGUUG
rnacentral:rRNA from 1 species